rnacentral:lncRNA from 1 species
UGGGGCCAUAAUCUAAUAGGAUUGGUGGCCUUAUAAGAAGAAAAAGAGAGGGAACUCUCUCUCUGUCUCUCUGCCUCUCCCUCCCUCCCUCCAUGUACACAGACUGAGGAGAGGCCAUGUGAGGACACAGUGAGACAGUGACCAUUUGCAAGACAGGAAGAGAGCUGUCACCAGAACCUGAACCCUGCAGGAACCUUGAUCUUGGACUUUCCAGCCUCCCGAACUAUGAGUUGGCCUAAAAGAAAGGACAGUCCAGUAGCAACAAGCACACCCAGUACGAAGAUCUUGGUUUGUAAUACCAUUCUCUGCUAAAAGGAGUCGGAUUCCUCGGAGAAAGGACUGAUCGUAGGACUGCAGCAAGAAAUACCCAAGAUGAGCCUGGAGCAUCUUGUGGUGCCAGGAAGUAAGGAAGUGCUCAAAGGAGAGCAACAUUUGGAAUAGCUCAAGCUGCUGAGUUAAUCAUCGAGACGCCAUGGGGAUGUUUUAAGCUGUGGGCCUACCCACCUCGUAUGAUUUGGUGUCAACACAUCCACUGGACUGAGUAAGGCAAGCACUGCAGCUUGUCCGAGGCGGAGGAAUCAGAUUUGCUACCUUCCAAUUUUCCCAUCUCUGUUUAAAGCAUCCACGCCAACGACGAUGGUCAGGAAGACCAAGAUACCUGGAACGUCAACUAGAAAAAGAAUUAAAGAGAGAAUUUCUACCUUUCCUUUCCAGUUUUAUCAGCUCCAACUUCAGAGAAGAGCUCCAUAUAGAUGUCCUCAGCCAGAAGGGACAAGAACAGAUGAAUGACUUUCUUCACGCUUCUUGUUGGGUGAAUCAGUCAUGCUCCAGGGUCAUGUUAAGUUUGCCACUUUUGUAUAAAAUCACUUAAUAAAUUGAUUGGCACCUUA